rnacentral:lncRNA from 1 species
CUUCUGACCACCCGGCUUGCUGUCUUCCCACUCAAGCUCCUCAUGCAGCUGCUGUCUACAGACCCCCUGGACUGCCUGGGGAAGUGAGUCGGAGCUCCUGCAGCAGAGGGGUGGAACAGCUACACGAAGAUCCGAAGGUGGCCAAAAAUAACAGCGCUUUCCAGAUGAGGAUCCAAAUCCUGUCUUCACUGGCUUCAAGAAUCCUGUCUUCACUGGCUUCAAAACUGGGAUGAAGGAGGCUCCUUAGUGGAGAGCAAAGCAAAGAGAAACUCAAAUUGGAUCCAUAUUAAAGAAGAGAAGGAUGGAUUUGUUUAGACAACACAAACCUAGGAAGGGUUUGAGAGGUGAAACAAACUGGGUUAUGGAUGAACGGGGGCAAUUGGAAUGUAGAAUUGAAGCAGUAAUUAACAUCUUGGUUUCAUCUGGGUGUUUGGCAUCAUGUUCAGAAAUGUGAAAAAUAAAAUUCAGCACCGUUAUUACUGAAUUAGAUAAAAUGAUUGUAUUUAAUUAAUCCGUAAAUAUUAACUAAUUAUUCUGUUUACCAUAACAUGUAAUGAAUAUAAUUCUCCACCAGGCAAAUAAAGAAAGAAAGAUGUAAUUAGGUGAUUUAAGCAUAAAACUUGGCUGAAAGCAUAUUUAAAUCUUGGUCAUAGUUUACUGGCAUUAAUUUCCUUGGGCAAAAAUCUUUGUAGGUCCUCAGACAACCAUUUUCUCUUCUGAGGAAUAGAUUUCCCUCGUUCUUCUGAGGGUCUGUUCAUUUACAAUGUGUUUUGACAGUAGUAAAAUUUAGUAAACAUUCAGUAACAUAUGAGAUACAUCUAGUAAUAGAUGUUUUCUUUGCCAAGUGAAUUAUCUGGGGCUGAUAAAAAUCAGUGUAAAACCCACUCUCAGAGCAGCCUUCUGACAUGCCUGAGGCUGAACCCCGAAGAGGAAUCUACUGAAACUGGACUUGAAAGCCUUUGUCACAAUGAAAAGCACCUUCUGUGACUGACAUUCUUUUGUGAUCUCCUCCAAAAAAGUUAUCAUAAUUAUUGAACAUUUCCUCUGUAGCUUAUUCUCAAUCCAAUCAGUUAUAAUGAAAAUAGUCUGCUUGCUUUUUAUAUUCUUAAGUUUUCAAAAUGAUUAGUGCUUCCUUGAGAUAUCCCAUUAAUUGGACACACAACCCAGAUGAAAAGGCUGAAACCCAAGAGUAUAUAAAAAAACAUAAGGUUGUUGCAAUUUAAGUGCCUUCAAAAGAUCUAAUUUGAUUUCUAAAAGCAAUUUUGCAGAUGUGAAAAUUAAAGGCACGCAGAAACAAGAUAUGAUUUAAUGAACGUGUAGGUUAAGAAACAUUUAGAGGUUUCAGUAGCUUUACUCUGACGUUUUUGUUUGUUUGUUUAGCUGUUAUGUUGGAAAGAUUGAGUCCACAACACAAUAAAAAUUACUGAAUUUUAUGGGUCGCUAUUUCCUUGAUCAAAUUGUCCCAUUCUUCCCAACAUGUUUCUGAAGCAACUUUGUAUUUCUGUCUGCAGAUUUUCAGGUCCAGGACCCGUCAAUCAAAUUUCAGAUUCUAAUAAAGUCCAAGGGUCUCUCCACUUAGGUUUGUCUUAGCUGUUUCAUCAAUGAGCCCCUCCCCCUUUCCCAGCAAAUUGCACACUUAUUCCCACUUAAAAAAAAAAAAGAGAGAGAGAGAGAGACAGAAAAAUAACCCUUCCCACUGGUUCUAAUGACAUCUUCAGUCAUUAAUGAGUUAAUAAAAAUCUCGAAGUCAUCUGGGCUAGAUAAGAAAGAAGAAAGAAAUGUAUUGUACUGUAAUGACAGGCUCUCGAGCUGCCCUCUGAGAUGUCAUGGGUCAGUCAUGUUAAGAAUGUGUGCGUCCAAUCAUCUGCUGAUUUUUAUCAGCAAGCUCUCCAGCAGGAGCUGACAAGGGCCAGUUUGGGAGUCACAAUGAAUAAACAAUGACUUUUUGGAUUGUUGGGGGCUGUGUAAUAGAGUGAGGGGUUUAUAUAUACUAAAACAUGAUGACAUUAGCAAUCAAUAUACCAAUUACUGGACAAGUUAUUGGAGGAGGCAUUCACGUGUCUUCAGCCUGCUUGCACUUUGAAGGGGCCUCUAGCAGGGAGAGUCCGUGUGCCCAGAGGCCGGCAAAGGUUCAAGACGUCAGGCCCAGAUCUAAAAGGCAAGCCCCUCUUCUCAGGCUGAAGUAGUCCAGAGCUGGAUGAUUUGAAUCCCCUGGGGAGUUUAUUAAAAAUACAGAUUCCUGACUUUCCUUCUUAGAGAGUCCAUCUCAGGAGUCUGGGGCUAAGGGUGAGACUUAGUGUUUUUAACAAAGUUUCCAGGUAAUCCUGAUCGGGAGCAUUAGGGAACUGCUGUACAGUUGUAAUUCCCAAAGUGCUGUCCCCCAGCCAGAGCAGCUGCAUCCCUAUCACCUGGGAGCCUGUUGCAAAUGCACAUUCUUGGGCCCCUCCCUAAACCCACUGAAACUGAAACUCACUAGGGGUGGGGCCUAGAGAUCUGUGUUUUAACACAGCCCUCAGGUGAUUCUGAUGCACUGUACAGUUUGAGAACCAAGGCUGUAGUACAAAGAUCCUUGCCAAGGUGUUGCAACACAGCUCUGUCACCUGUAGCCUCUGAGGCUCCUCAUGGGUAAUUUGUUACUUGUACUAGUUAGAGUGCUGGAGUUUGCAAAUGAUUUACUUAAAAAAAUUAAAUUAGAGUAGAUCCAAGAUUAUCUUCACAGUCAUGCCACUCUCAUUCACUUGCAUACUGCUAGGCUUUCUUGAAUGAUCUUGAUGUAUGAGUGACUUUGGUUAUAGAAUAGGAAGAAUAAACAUAGCUUUUGUCUAUUAUUUGAAGUGGAAAGAGAGAGUGGAUUUGUACAUAAUCUUAAAAGAAAAGGAGUCCAUAAGAAAAAUCAAUGUACGUGAAGCAUUUAUUUGAUGUAUGACAAAUAUUUAUGUAGGUAACCAGUGCCACUUGUGAAACCCAUGGGCAAUUGGUGAGGUCUACUGUUUUCGUCUUUGGUAGCCACAGAACAUGCAACGUGUCUUAAUUAGAAGAAGAGAAUAUGCACGGCCCAAGGUCAGCAUAUCCUCAGAAGAGGAAUGGCGAAGACCUUCUUGCAGUUGGGUUGAGACUUCCUUUAUUCAGCCAAGGGUCCUCCUAAAGGGGCUUGCUCAGCUUUCAAAAGAGGUGGACUCGUUUGUCAGCCAUGCAGUAGAUUUAAAUCAGUGUUCUCCAGAAGACGUUUGAAAUAGUAAUUUCAUGUCUCAAAACAUUGAUUUAAAAAAAUGUCCGGGGUCAAGUGAGAAACAGUAGAUUAACCUGAGUUAAAUAUGAUUGUUUGCAGCAGGGCCCCCAAAGCCUCCAGCACAUUACUAUGCACUGUGAAUCCCCAGGACAUUUGAUCUUCAAUAGAUCUGAUUACCCAAACCGUUUUAUAAAGGAUAAGCUUGUAGCAUUGGUGUUCAAGGAAUAGACUUUCAGGAGACACAGAUUCCUAUUUUCUAAGAUGGCAACAACCUGUUGGUAGAAGCUAGUUCUUUUAUAUAUUGUAUAGUAAGGAACCUCUUCCUUUAUUCUAAUGUAUCAAACCCUCUGUGUCUGGCGUCAGGAUUCAUUAUGUGGUGGCUUGACGCCAGCAAAAAGGUUCAUGUAACACUCACCAAAGAGUUAAAUAAGUUGUCCAGUUGUUGA